AUUGAACGCUGGCGGCAGGCCUAACACAUGCAAGUCGAACGAGUGGCGGACGGGUGCGUACUGGUUGGGAAACUGCCCGAUGGAGGGGGAUAACUACUGGAAACGGUAGCUAAUACCGCAUACCAUCGGCUUUCCCCAGGGGGGUUUAGCUUGUAGGUGAGGUAACGGCUCACCUAGGCGACGAUCCCUAGCUGGUCUGAGAGGAUGACCAGCCACACUGGAACUGAGACACGGUCCAGACUCCUACGGGAGGCAGCAGUGGGGAAUAUUGCGCAAUGGGCGCAAGCCUGACACAGCCACGCCGCGUGUAUGAAGAAGGCCUUCGGGUUGUAAAGCACUUUCGGCGGGGAGGCGUUAUCCGAAGAAGAAGCACCGGCUAACUCCGUGCCAGCAGCCGCGGUAAUAC
rnacentral:rRNA from 1 species